rnacentral:tRNA from 1 species
CGGGACGUAGCGCAGCUUGGUAGCGCACCAUUCUGGGGGGAUGGGGGUCGCAGGUUCAAAUCCUGUCGUUCCGA